UGGGGAAUAUUGGACAAUGGGCGAAAGCCUGAUCCAGCCAUGCCGCGUGUGUGAAGAAGGUCUUCGGAUUGUAAAGCACUUUACGUUGGGAGGAAGGGCAGUAAGCGAAUACCUUGCUGUUUUGACGCUACCGACAGAAUAAGCACCGGCUAACUCUGUGCCAGCAGCCGCGGUAAUACAGAGGGUGCAAGCGUUAAUCGGAAUUACUGGGCGUAAAGCGCGCGUAGGUGGUUCGUUAAGUUGAAUGUGAAAGCCCCGGGCUCAACCUGGGAACUGCAUCCAAAACUGGCGAGCUAGAGUAGGGCAGAGGGUGGUGGAAUUUCCUGUGUAGCGGUGAAAUGCGUAGAUAUAGGAAGGAACACCAGUGGCGAAGGCGACCACCUGGGCUCAUACUGACACUGAGGUGCGAAAGCGUGGGGAGCAAACAGG
rnacentral:rRNA from 1 species